GGAGCUGAACUUUUCCGACUUUUUUUAGCAUAUAAAUAAGUCGCUCCCAUAUGGCACAGGCAUUAGCAAUUUUUCCGCUCAGAGAUUUUCGAGCGUAAUGAUAUAUAAAUGAAGAUGUGAGUUCUGCUCUAGCUCAGUUCUGAUUUGAUACCACGCUCAAAGACACAUUCCCCGAAAAUUUUGAAUUUUUCGGACUCAAACGCGUAAAAUGAAUCUGAUGUCAUCUCUCUUGGUUUGGACGACGGUGUUAUGGGUUAUGAUACCGUAUGGAGUGGGAUGUAUCCACGCGGGCAAUCGGAGAUUGAAUCGGUUCCAUCAACUCCCAGAGCAGGAACGCCUCCCAGAAGUGGGUCGGGUCGUUCUUCCCCUGCUGCGCUUGAGAAGGAAGAGAAACUAAACUGGUUUCAAAGGAGGAAACAGAAGAAGAAACAAGAGGAAGAGGAAAAGGAAAAGGCCGCCGCGAAAAGGAGAAAACCCGUGAAUACUGGGAAGGAAGUCAUGUAUUAUCGCGAUGUGUCCACCGUAGACGCAAGCUCCUAUAGCCAAAUGAUCCGAAGUAUAAUGAGUGACGACCCGUGUAAAAAGGGUAAAGCUGACGCAAACGCUUACUGCAAAAUGGUGACUGGAUUCUUGAACAGACUCAAACCCGAGAAUCGGAGCCCCGACUGCCCCACGUGA
rnacentral:lncRNA from 1 species